UAACCUGCUAAAUAGUGACUGGAAGCUUCUACAAAAACACAGUGGCGUCUAGGGUGAAGUUUCGAUGGGUCCUGACGCCUCAUUGUGUGGAUGCUUCCAGGAUUUACUUCUUAGAGGGACUAUCUGUAUUAAAGCAGAUGGAAGUUUGAGGCAAUAACAGGUCUGUGAUGCCCUUCGAUGUUCUGGGCUGCACGCGCGCUACACUGAUAAGUUCAACGAGUUUAACACCUUGGCCGGUAGGUCUGGGUAAUCUUCGUAAAACUUAUCGUGCUGGGGAUAGAUCAUUGUAAUUAUUGAUCUUCAACGAGGAAUUCCUAGUAAGCGUUGAGUCAUCAGCUCGCGUUGAUUACGUCCCUGCCCUUUGUACACACCGCCCGUCGCUCC
rnacentral:rRNA from 1 species